AAGACAGAUCCAGACAUUGAAGUUCUCUUUAUCAACAGACAUGUGCAACAGCAGUGUGAGCUUCCUGCACAUCAUCCACACACAGCAGCCUGUCCCAAGCCCAGCAACGAGAGCCUGCCUCUAGGAGGAGUUCAUUCUCCAUGGCUAGUUCAAUCCUUGGCCUCU
rnacentral:sRNA from 1 species